AGAAUUGGCUCUCUCGAAAUGGUUCUGUAUAUCGUUCUUUGAAGCUCUGUAUGCUAAGUCCCUUAGUCAAUUGAGUUCGACCUUAACAUUUGUUUGACCUUAAUCUGAUCUUAGUAUCUAGUAUGUUACCUUCUUCACACAGAAUCGCCGUAAAAAUGACGCUAGCAAAGUUCAGCUGAUAAACCGGUUUGUAAUUCACUAAUACGCAUGCGUAGGGAAUAUCUUCAAAACUCUUCGGAAAAAAAACGAAAAAACUUUUGUGUUAUCUUAUUCACACUUAGCAGAAAGUGCUGGUUUGAGAACGUGACCGAUUGGAGGGAGGAGAGGAGAUAAUGGUGAUCCACAGUGGUAAAUAGGAGUAAAACUCUCGUUGAGCUCUCAAAGGGUAUCGAUUAUCGUUGUUUCUCCCACAAGUGAGCGGGUGAUACGUGUGUGACAAUUAAUUACUUCAUUCUUCCUCAAGGCAAAUCGGUCCCGUCGGUAUUGGUGCACCACUGACGGGGCUCGGCAGUGACCGGCUGAUAGCUGGAGAGUUUAAGUAGUCAUGUCCAUCCCAGGAAGUGGAGGAAUGACAGACACAGAUAUAGUUAUGAUGCGCAGUGAAGUUGCUUACCGUGAGCUCCAUGGCCGGUUGCUGUCGUUAUUUUGUUCCGCUACUGAACAAUUUUGGUCAGUUGAUUCCUUUUAGCUUCUUUUUCGCUCAGUUGAUUAGUUCGGAGAGCACGAAAGAAGCGCAAGACUUUCUCGAGUUGCAACUGUGAGCAGCUCGAUCUGGCUUCUUUAGUGCUCCCCAAACUUCCCAAGAAAAUUACUAAGAACUUCAAUAAUGAUGCACAGGUGAAAGCAUGGAUCAAUUGUUUCAUAAGAUGUCAAGAUUGCCAACUGAAUUGCGUCACAAAAACACACACGAAAAAUGAUGUUAUUCUUCACGAGGAAUGAUACCGGUUUCGCCCCAUGGCGAGUUCGCCCCCACUAUAAAUUUUCUAUUUCGAGUUAGAUUGAGUUAUUUCCUUGCACGACUGAUGGUACAAGCUGAUGUGGGAUGACGGUGUUUGAACUGUCGGGGUACGAUACGGCAGUUAUUUUUUGUUUAUCUUGUAGUUGUGCUUUUUUUGUCAUCAAAAUUGCUGUGCUCUAACUGUCUGUACUCUAAAUCAUAUCACGUGGGAAGCCCUUAUCGUCACCAGUCUCUGGCUUUCAAAAUGGCGGUUUUACAUGUAGAGUGUGUUUUUCGUCUUUCUUGCUAUAAAGAACUGCCUUAUCGUGGCGUUGAGGUCUUUUUACACUUCUUUCAGGGGAUAAAAAGAACAAGCAAGUCCUAAUUCAAGUUCUUGCUUAAUCAUGGAUGUGAUGGUGCUGUCCAAGAAGAAAGCAAGUUGUUAGAGACAUAGAUCACAGGAUCAAGGACCGGGGACCCAGGACCGGGAAACCAGGACAGAGGACCCAGGACAGAAGACCUUGGACAGAGGACCCAGGACAGAGGACCCAGGACAGUGGACCCAGGACAGAGGACCUGGGACAGAGGACUCAGGACAGAUUACCCAAGACAGACAACCCAAGACUCAGAACAGAGGAUCAAGGAGCAAGGAUAGGACUGAGGACUGACAACUGGGGAUCAAGGAUUAAAGCAAGCCUUGAAUGAAGAGUUUUCAUAAGUUGAAUUAUAGAUAUAUUAAGGUAUGUAAGAUAUUACUGGUAGCAGAGAUGGCAUAGUGCACCUUGCCCCGAAGGUUUUUCUCCGGGUACUCUGGUUUCCCUCACUCUUGAGAAACCAAUAUUUCCAAAUUCCAAUUAGCAAAAUUGGUGACACAUUGCUGUGGGCCAACUGAGAUGAAAAAUUCUUUGAUUACUCUAAGUAAACAUUUGUAAUACCAGUUUAUUACUCUCUGUUCAUUUCCUAGUUACAUGUGCACAUGUGGUUUUACAGUCUCCUUUGCAGCUUUUAUUUUAGUUAAUGAGCAAAUUGAGAAGAAGCUUUUAAUUAUUUAUUUUCUGUCUUUUUCAAUUAUCUCUUUUUUAAACAUAGGUAAAGGGAAAUUCAAUCAAUCAAUCAAGCAAGCAAUCAAUCAAUCAAUCAAUCAAUCAAUCAACCAAUCAUUUAAUCAAUUAAAAAAUCACUCAAUAACUCAAUAAAUAGUUAAGAUAAAAAGCCCAGGAUAUGCAGCUAACUAAAAUAGCAAUUACCAACCUUUAAAUUUAUAUCUACUUGCAAUUUGAAGAUCUUAAACAUUGUAUUCCAGUACCACUGUGAUGCACAUGUGACUAGAACCCAUGUAAACAGAGUGUUGAACUGACCAGUGUGUUGUGUGGUUGUCGUUCAUUUGCAAAUAAGUGGCUUGCUUGAUACAUUUUCCAUACAAUUCAUUAUAUCAGAGCCGGAAUUAUGCGAAUAGCAAUCGUCACUAAAAAUUAACUGAAAUUCAAUUAUGGUAAAAUCUGUUUCU
rnacentral:lncRNA from 1 species